rnacentral:rRNA from 1 species
AGAGUUUUAUCCUGGCUCAGGAUGAACGCUGGCGGCGUGCUUAACACAUGCAAGUCGAACGAACCUUCGGGUUAGUGGCGGACGGGUGAGUAACGCGUGGGAACCUGCCCUCAGGAGGGGGAUAACGGCUGGAAACGGCCGCUAAUACCCCAUAUGCCGAGAGGUGAAAUGAAUUUCGCCUGAGGAUGGGCCCGCGUCUGAUUAGCUAGUUGGUGGGGUAAAAGCCUACCAAGGCGACGAUCAGUAGCUGGUCUGAGAGGAUGAUCAGCCACACUGGGACUGAGACACGGCCCAGACUCCUACGGGAGGCAGCAGUGGGGAAUUUUCCGCAAUGGGCGAAAGCCUGACGGAGCAACGCCGCGUGAGGGAUGAAGGCCUCUGGGCUGUAAACCUCUUUUCUCAGGGAAGAAGACCUGACGGUACUUGAGGAAUAAGCCACGGCUAAUUCCGUGCCAGCAGCCGCGGUAAUACGGGAGUGGCAAGCGUUAUCCGGAAUUAUUGGGCGUAAAGCGUCCGCAGGUGGCCCUGUAAGUCUGUCGUUAAAGCGUGGAGCUUAACUCCAUUUAAGCGAUGGAAACUACAGGGCUAGAGUGUGGUAGGGGCAGAGGGAAUUCCCGGUGUAGCGGUGAAAUGCGUAGAUAUCGGGAAGAACACCAGUGGCGAAGGCGCUCUGCUGGGCCAUCACUGACACUCAUGGACGAAAGCCAGGGGAGCGAAAGGGAUUAGAUACCCCUGUAGUCCUGGCCGUAAACGAUGAACACUAGGUGUCGGGGGAAUCGACCCCCUCGGUGUCGUAGCCAACGCGUUAAGUGUUCCGCCUGUGAGUACGCACGCAAGUGUGAAACUCAAAGGAAUUGACGGGGGCCCGCACAAGCGGUGGAGUAUGUGGUUUAAUUCGAUGCAACGCGAAGAACCUUACCAGGGUUUGACAUCCUGCGAAUCCCUUGGAAACGAGGGAGUGCCUUCGGGAGCGCAGAGACAGGUGGUGCAUGGCUGUCGUCAGCUCGUGUCGUGAGAUGUUGGGUUAAGUCCCGCAACGAGCGCAACCCACGUCGUUAGUUGCCAGCAUUCAGUUGGGCACUCUAGCGAGACCGCCGGUGAUAAACCGGAGGAAGGUGUGGAUGACGUCAAGUCAUCAUGCCCCUUACAUCCUGGGCUACACACGUACUACAAUGCUACGGACAAAGGGCAGCAAACUCGCGAGAGCUAGCAAAUCCCAUAAACCGUGGCUCAGUUCAGAUCGUAGGCUGCAACUCGCCUACGUGAAGGAGGAAUCGCUAGUAAUCGCAGGUCAGCAUACUGCGGUGAAUACGUUCCCGGGCCUUGUACACACCGCCCGUCACACCAUGGAAGUUGGCCACGCCCGAAGUCGUUACUCCAACCCUUGUGGAGGAGGACGCCGAAGGUGGGGCUGAUGACUGGGGUGAAGUCGUAACAAGGUAGCCGUACCGGAAGGUGCGGCUG